rnacentral:rRNA from 1 species
GACGAACGCUGGCGGCGUGCUUAACACAUGCAAGUCGAACGGAAAGGCCCUUCGGGGUACUCGAGUGGCGAACGGGUGAGUAACACGUGGGUGAUCUGCCCUGCACUUUGGGAUAAGCCUGGGAAACUGGGUCUAAUACCGAAUAGGACCACGCUCUUCAUGGGGGGUGGUGGAAAGCUUUUGCGGUGUGGGAUGGGCCCGCGGCCUAUCAGCUUGUUGGUGGGGUAAUGGCCUACCAAGGCGACGACGGGUAGCCGGCCUGAGAGGGUGACCGGCCACACUGGGAAGGGGAUACGGCCCAGACUCCUACGGGAGGCAGCAGUGGGGAAUAUUGCACAAUGGGCGCAAGCCUGAUGCCGCGACGCCGCGUGAGGGAUGACGGCCUUCGGGUUGUAAACCUCUUUCAGUACCGACGAAGCGCAAGUGACGGUAGGUACAGAAGAAGGACCGGCCAACUACGUGCCAGCCGCCGCAGUAAAAC